UACGUAGGGUGCGAGCGUUUGUCCGGAAUUAUUGGGCGUAAAGAGCUCGUAGGCGGUGUGUCACGUCGGCCGUGAAAACCUGGGGCUUAACUCUGGGCGUGCGGUCGAUACGGGCAUCACUAGAGUUCGGCAGGGGAGACUGGAAUUCCUGGUGUAGCGGUGAAAUGCGCAGAUAUCAGGAGGGAACACCGGUGGGCGAAGGCGGGUCUCUGGGCCGAUACUGACGCUGGAGGA
rnacentral:rRNA from 1 species